CCUACGGGUGGCUGCAGUGAGGAAUCUUGGUCAAUAGGCGGGAGCCUGAACCAGCCAAGCCGCGUGAAGGAUGACAGCCCUAUGGGUUUUAAACUUCUUUUAUAAGGGAAUAAAGUGCCCCACGUGUGUGGUUUUGUAUGUACCUUAUGAAUAAGCAUCGGCUAAUUCCGUGCCAGCAGCCGCGGUAAUACGGAAAAUUCGAGCGUUAUCCGGAUUUAUUGGGUUUAAGGGGGACGUAGGCGGUGCCAUAAGUGAGCGGGAAAAUCGUGGGGUCAAACCGUACCGUGCCGUUGAAACUGUGGGACUUGAGUGUGCGCAGGGUACAUGGAAUUCGUGGUGUAGCGGUGAAAUGCUUAGAGAUCACGAAGAACUCCGAUCGCGAAGGCAUUGUACCGGAGCAAGACUGACGCUGAGGCUCGAAAGUGCGGGUAUCAAACAGGAUUAGAUACCCCAGUAGUC
rnacentral:rRNA from 1 species